UAGUUUUCAAUUUUCUUGAAAGUAUUUCACUGAUUUAAUGCUUUUUUUUUUUAAACUUAGGGAUACCAUUAGUAACCUGUGCUUACUCAUCCAAAUAUCCAUUGAUUUUUAUAUUCCACCUUGCUUCACAGUUGCUUUAUCCCUUUUUGUACAAACUCUUAGUGUAUGAUGUUAUGGCCUGUCAGUUCUCUGUAAAUGACACAGUGCAAGGUCAAUGUUCUAAGACAGGGGUGCCCACAUUUUUUUCAACAUGCCAAAUUAACUACCUUAUGUAUGCACGUAUUGAUGUAUGCAUGUGUUUAUUUAUAUCAGUAUGGAUGUAUCUAAAAAUAUAUACUACUCCAAAAAAAUAAAGAGAACACUAAAAUACUACAUCCUGCAUAUCAAAUGUUCCAUCUGAGAAUCUUUAUGAAGCACACAGUGCAAUGUCUUCAACAAAAUAACAUGAAAAUGAUCAACAUAAAAUUAAAUGACCAACCCAAAGGGGUCUGUUUUUUUAAUCAUACUCACAAUAGAAGUGGAAACUCAGAAUACAGCCUGAUCCAGUUUUAGUGGAAAUUCCUCAGGACAAGUCAAAAUGGGGCUCAGCCUUGUGUUUGGCCUCCUGGUGCCUAUGUGAACCUGGGCAUGCUCCUGAUGAGACUGCAACGUCUCUGCUCAGGGAGCUGAUGCUUUAUUCCAGGUCUGGACCUGAAAUAAAGCAUCAGUUAACUCCUGCGCAGUCUUUGGUGCCAUUUUCACUCUGUUGUUUUGCACGAUCCACCGACACCUACUGGGGGUGUGUCUUUAGCAUCUUCUUUCACACCUACCCUUCCCACUUUAACAUCCGUAUGCUGUCCUCACUUAGGUCCGGGCCUAGGAUUUCAAGGUACAGUAUGUAGAAUUUAGUGCCAUUUAGUGGUGAAUUUAUGCAACAACCUAAACUCGAAGCGCGUGUGUUUUGAAGCAUCCGUAAUACUGUGCCUCAGAGAUACCGCACUUCAUGAGCCUACCAACAAUUUAUUCAUCAGAGGUGCAAGCAAAAUGUUGUCCCAAAUGAUUCCUAGUAUUGCCUCAAGUGCUUGGCAUUUUUUACAAAUGCUGUCGUCACCAUGUUGACAAACUACCUUCGCUAAGUUUGUCUCCUUUGGAUAUCCGUAGCAGAACGAUGGUGACGAAACACGUCAGCCUCCUCCUGUCAGGGAGUCAUAGCCUAUGAAAUAUAAUUACUUUAUCUGUUACUUUAAAAAAUACACUGACGUGACAGGACAUCUUAUUUUUAUAUUUAUAAUUAUUGUUGAAAUUAGUGGGUUUUUUAAAUAAUCCACGUUGAAAAAUCAACAAAUUGUUACACACUGUCCCUUUCAUGUUUUAUUAAUGUCCUGAAAAUGCGCUUCCAUAUUUCUCAUCUUUGGCCAGUCACAAAGAGCCCCAAGGGCUCGACCAGCAUGACACACCACUCAGCCAGUCAUUUCAGUCACCACCACCACCCCAAACCAGUAGCCACGACACACCACUGGAGGACCCCGGCCUCACACCGGCGUUUAGGUGUAUGGCUGCCCCAUCCAGUGGUUCCCUCUCCAGCGCCAGUGAAACCGAAAGCGCGUGCCCAAGUGCAUUGCCCGCUUCACCCUGCCACUGAGCCCACUGCAAAAAAAAAAAAA